rnacentral:tRNA from 1 species
GCCUUCCAGGUGUAAUGGUCAGCACGCUCGACGCGUAUUCGAGAGGUCCGUGGUUCGAGUCCCGGCAAGGGCA